UGCCAAGUAGUUGUCUCUGAGAAAUCCUGAUUUGCCUAAUUUAAGGGAAGUUUAUUAUUUCAUUAAGAAUAAAAAUGAAGAAAGCUUAUUAUUUCAUUAAGAACAAAAAUGGUAGGCUGAACCCAUAACUAGUCAAGGUGCAAAGAGUAAGAGCCUGUGCAAUGUUUAGCCCUAAUAAGAUCCCUGUAUAUCCCUAAUAAGAGGCAGAGCAUCACCAAAGGAAAUGGUGCUUUCUGGAUAGAGCAGGGCACAGAAGAAUUCCAGCAAUUGUGACAUCAUAUAUGAUGAGAUCUAGCCAAGACAAAAUGCCAGCACAGACAGCAGAGGUAGGGUGAAGUUUUACCCUGAGCUGAACUACUGGCAAUCACAGCUGCUGGGAUAAGGAGAGUCAACGUGCUUUAAGAAUGGAGCCUAAAAGGAUUACUUGUCAGGAACCUGGCUUCAUCAAUUACAAUAGAAGAAAGCCUGUUUAGAGAAAACUACUUUAUGGGGGUGGGCGGGAUGACUUUGGGACAUCUGAAAUACCUUGACCUAUGAUGUCAUGUCCUCCAAGGAGUCUGAGCCGGCAAUUCUUCACUGGCAAUGAAGUCACCUGUCACCUCACAAGUGUACAGACCAAUGAGAACUCGUGUUCUAUCUGGGGCCCAAAUUGCGAAUUCACAAAAAGCCACUUGCCUGUGGCUCUACAGUCCUGGCACAGACUGGAGCUGCAUGUGGCUGGAGUCACCCCCACCCCCAGAUACAGCUUGCCAUAAGGGAACCUCCUCAAAAUUAGGGUUGGGAAAGGGUUUUGUUUCUGUCUUUUGAAGAGAAUGAAGGCAUCCAGCUAAGGAAUCUGAAAACCACUGGACAAAUGA